GUGGUUUCAAUUAAAGAAAAAAUAAAAUAAAACAAUUGUGGUAAGUAAAAUAAAAAAAUCCAUUCAAUGUAAUUCAGUUCUUUCACAAUUAAUUCACACUUUUCACUUUUACAGGUUAUUCUGUACGGCAUACAAAUUCUAUUAUCCGGCAGAAUAAUUUUGAUGAAAAAAAAACUGGAAAAAUUCAAAUAAUGUUAGGUGGUGGAUUUCUGGUCAAAAUAGUGGGAUUUGGUGAGUUACACUGGCAAAACUGGAAUUGAAAUGGACUAAAAACGGACUGAAAAAUUAAAAUGGAAUAUGGAAUAGGCGACUUGCACAGACAUCCCUUAAGAGGUUCCAGACAAUACGACCAAUGGUCGGAAGCCAAAAUUGUCGCAGGACCGAUGGAAACUCUGGACUGCGAUUUCUGAUGACAAAAAUUAGGGUGCAAUAAUGGCGGCUUGCAAUUGUGGUUCUUCCCAACAAGUAUGUACGUAAGUAUUGUUUUAAAGUUUAGCUUUUUUAAUUAUAUUCCACGUUAAAUUUUUUU